AGGGAAGUAUAAGAGGCAACAGAUGUGAGAGAAGGAUGGAGUGAUAAGGCAGCAGUUUAGCUGGGUGGUGUCAACCCCCUAGCCCAUUGGGUCUUGGGUUCGAUCCACAAUCUGGCUUUGGGCAUUGCAGAGCAAGAGGCUUGCUCCUAAAUGAAUGUAGCUCUAUAAUCACAGUACAGCGCAUUUUAAAUGACUACACAAGCAACAACAGAUGAGCAUCAUUCAAGCAAGCACCCACCACCCACCAAAAAAAAAAGAAAUCUGUUGUUUCACACAUAUUUACUUUAAUUAGCACUGUAACCCAAUAAAAUCAGAUUUUUUUCAGCGAGAAUAUUUACUAUAGCCAUGUAUAAUUUCUUUGCAAAAAAAUGUAAUAAUUUUUCUAUUGAUUAACAAUACUGACACCUAUGAACAACAUCACUUCCAGUAGAGCUUUUUUUUUUCUCUCUAUGUACAUUCUUGUUCUUAGUAUAUGCAACGCACUCGUACAAACUACUGUUGGAGCACACACCGAAAGACGGGAAAACACGCAGGUUUUCGCUUCUCUAAAGGGGUGUCGAGACUCGACAAGGCCUCUCUUGUACAAUAUGUAAACGAUAGUAUAUCCGAGGUAAACCAUUUAAUUUAACUCAAAUUGCAAACAGAGAGCUCCUGAUCUAUCUGAGUUCAGGCCGGGAUAAGGAUUGUUUUGUGGUGGUGGUGGUGGUGUUUUCUCGUUCCUCAUGGUGUCGGGGUUCACCCUGCUGUCUUUAACUUCCACAGCUCCGCUGAAGUUCGACAGAUGAGCAGCACCCCUCUGAUGAACCGCGUCGGAAGGGAGCAGGGGGAAAGUGUGUGUGAGUCUGUCGUUCUGUCAGUAGGAGUCCGUCUGUCAGUCGGCCCCGCGCGUCUCCCAGGCGAGUCUGGAUACAAAAAGCGAAGCCACGGCCAAAUCACACUGCUUGUGCCACUGUUUAGAAAUUGGCAAAACUGGACGAUAAUAAUAAAAUACCAUCAUUUUGUCACAAUUAAAGGCAUUUGGAAAUGAUUUUUUUCUCCCCCCUCCCCCCUCCCCCCGCAACCCCACCUCCUUGUGUUUUUUUUCUUCUUCUUCUUCUUCUACUACUUCUAACUCUGUUGUCUUCGUGUUCCGGUUCUUCUUUGAUACAGUAUAGAAACAGUAGGACAAA